rnacentral:lncRNA from 1 species
UGGGAAGGAGGCAGACACCAGAGAGCUUCCUCCCAAUCUCUGAGGAGGACAGUCGCCUGAAACUGAGGAGAGGAAAUUGGCUGGAAAGAGAGAAACGAGCUUCCUGUAUUGGAAGAAUUUGAAAGCAGAAAAAUGGCUGGUCUCAACAACAUGCAUCCCUAUUCCCGCAGGGAGUAGGGAGAGACAGGAGAGACAGUGAGGACGACAUCUGCACCCUCAUGAAGAGCACUCCGAAGUCUGCGGAGAGGGUAGAAACAAUAAAGAUGGAGACCAUG